rnacentral:rRNA from 1 species
CUACGGGUUGCUGCAGUGGGGAAUAUUGGACAAUGGGGGAAACCCUGAUCCAGCAAUGCCGCGUGUGUGAAGAAGGCCUUAGGGUUGUAAAGCACUUUCAGUAGUGAGGAAAAGUUUAAGGCUAAUACCCUUGAACCCUGACGUUAACUACAGAAGAAGCACCGGCUAACUUCGUGCCAGCAGCCGCGGUAAUACGAAGGGUGCAAGCGUUAAUCGGAUUUACUGGGCGUAAAGCGCGCGUAGGCGGUUUGAUAAGUCGGAUGUGAAAGCCCCGGGCUUAACCUGGGAAUUGCAUUCGAUACUGUCAGGCUAGAGUAUGGUAGAGGGAAGUGGAAUUCCACAUGUAGCGGUGAAAUGCGUAGAUAUGUGGAGGAACACCAGUGGCGAAGGCGGCUUCCAGGGCCAAAACUGACGCUGAGGCGCGAAAGCGUGGGGAGCAAACAGGAUUAGAUACCCUCGUAGUC